rnacentral:sRNA from 1 species
AUACGGGUGAUAAUAUUGCACGAGGUCUAGGUGUAAGGUUAAGCAGAGAACGUUUAAUAUUAUUCUUUAUCGCAGUGAUGUUAUCAUCUGCUGCUGUAGCAGUAGCAGGUUCAAUUUCGUUUAUCGGAUUAAUGGGUCCGCAU